rnacentral:tRNA from 1 species
ACGGCCCGGCGCCGGGGGUGCCGCACCGGAUCGUCCCGGUGCCGGACGGGCCGCUGAACGCCGGGCAGUUGGCCGCGGUGCAGGAGGCCGCGCGGGCCGUG